rnacentral:rRNA from 1 species
GACGAACGCUGGCGGCGUGCCUAACACAUGCAAGUCGUGCGAGAACGGUUCCUUCGGGAACUCAGUAGAGCGGCGAACGGGUGAGUAACACGUGAGCGAUCUGCCCAAGGGUGGGGGAUAGCCCAGGGAAACCUGGAUUAAUACCGCGUACAGCGCUGGGAUUAGAUACCCAGUGUGAAAGCUGGCCUCUUUACAAUGCUAGCGCCUUUGGAUGAGCUCGCGGCCUAUCAGCUUGUUGGUGGGGUAAUGGCCUACCAAGGCUUUGACGGGUAGCUGACGUGAGAGCGUGAUCAGCCACAUUGGGACUGAGACACGGCCCAG